rnacentral:tRNA from 1 species
GCCUGAGUGGCUCAGGUGGUUGAGCGCCUGACUCUUGAUCUCGGCUCAGGUCAUGAUCUUGUGGUUUGUGGGUUCGAGCCCCACAUCAGGCU